CGAAGGGGGCUAGCGUUGUUCGGAAUUACUGGGCGUAAAGCGCACGCAGGCGGUUCGAUUAGUCAGAAGUGAAAGCCCCGGGCUCAACCUGGGAAUUGCUUUUGAUACUGUCGAGCUUGAAUCACGGAGAGGGUAGUGGAAUUCCGAGUGUAGAGGUGAAAUUCGUAGAUAUUCGGAAGAACACCAGUGGCGAAGGCGACUACCUGGCCGUCGAUUGACGCUCAUGUGCGAAAGCGUGGGGAGCAAACAGGAUUAGAUACCCUGGUAGUCCACGCCGUAAACGAUGGGUGCUAGUUGUUGGGGUACAUGUACCUCAGUGACGCAGCUAACGCGUUAAGCACCCCGCCUGGGGAGUACGGCCGCAAGGUUA
rnacentral:rRNA from 1 species